CAGCCGCCGCGGGAAUACAGAGGGUGCGAGCGUUAAUCGGAUUUACUGGGCGUAAAGCGUGCGUAGGCGGCUUUUUAAGUCGGAUGUGAAAUCCCUGAGCUUAACUUAGGAAUUGCAUUCGAUACUGGGAAGCUAGAGUAUGGGAGAGGAUGGUAGAAUUCCAGGUGUAGCGGUGAAAUGCGUAGAGAUCUGGAGGAAUACCGAUGGCGAAGGCAGCCAUCUGGCCUAAUACUGACGCUGAGGUACGAAAGCAUGGGGAGCAAACAAGAUUAGAUACCCCUGUAGUCCCUGUCUCUUAUAC
rnacentral:rRNA from 1 species